UACGUAGGUGGCAAGCGUUGUCCGGAUUUAUUGGGUUUAAAGGGUGCGUAGGCGGCUUUGUAAGUCAGUGGUGAAAUAUGGCAGCUCAACUGUCAGGGUGCCAUUGAUACUGCGGAGCUUGAGUACAGAUGAGGUAGGCGGAAUUGACGGUGUAGCGGUGAAAUGCUUAGAUAUCGUCAAGAACACCGAUAGCGAAGGCAGCUUACUGGGCUGUAACUGACGCUGAGGCACGAAAAGUGUGGGGGAUCAAACAGG
rnacentral:rRNA from 1 species